rnacentral:rRNA from 1 species
UACGUAGGCAGCAAGCGUUGUUCGGAGUUACUGGGCGUAAAGGGUGUGUAGGUGGCCUGUUAAGUUCCGUGUGAAAUCUCCCGGCUCAACCGGGAGGGUGCGCGGAAAACUGGCGGGCUAGAGUGAGACAGAGGUGAGCGGAACUGAUGGUGGAGCGGUGAAAUGCGUUGAUAUCAUCAGGAACACCAGUGGCGAAGGCGGGUCUCUGGGCCGUAACUGACGCUGAGGAGCGAAAGCAUGGGGAGCGAACAGG